UCUGACCUGCUCACUGAAUUGAAUUUAAAGAGCCGCGGUAUUAUGACCGUGCAAAGGUAGCAUAAUCAUUAGUCUUUUAAUUGGAGGCUGGAAUGAAUGGUUUGACGAGAAAUUAACUGUCUCUUAGUAAAUUUUAGAAUUUAACUUUUGAGUGAAAAGGCUUAAAUAAUUCUUUAGGACGAGAAGACCCUAUAGAGCUUUACAUUUAUAAUUUAUAUUUUUCUUUAGUUUAUUUUUUAUUGUAAGUUAUAAAUGUUUAGUUGGGGUGAUUUGAAGAAUAAAUAAACUCUUCAUUAUUGAUUCAUUGAUUUAUGUUUGUUUGAUCC
rnacentral:rRNA from 1 species